UUGCUUUAAGCUUGACUUAAGAGUAAGAACAAUUAAACAAAAAAUGUUGGUAAACCAAUUUGAUUGUAACACACUUAUAUCUCAAAGUGUAUUCAUGCAAUUAUCAAAACAACUAAAAAAAACCAAAGUUUUGGUGAACUAGAGCCACCCAAAAGUACAUCAAGAAUUUUCAAAAGAAAAAUAAUACGAAGAAAACUCAAAAUAAAAUAAACUCCUCAAAUUCACCAACUC
rnacentral:lncRNA from 1 species